rnacentral:lncRNA from 1 species
AAUGCUGCCGGCUGCUCCCAACGUGAGGCCCAGCCUCAGCUGUGGAGCAAAGGUGCACCUCCAGGAGCAUCUCCACCAAACCUCAACGAAGACCACCCCCCCCAGGAGGGGCAAGCUGGAACCCCCUGAGCUGACCUCCUGGGGCCUCCUUCGGCCCCUUUAACCAAGCACGGUGGAGCCCAGGCUAUCCUGUCCACGAUUGCACCGCAGACGGGCGCCUGAGUGCCCGCGAGCACACACUGCUUUCAGGUGAUGUCCUUAAACUUUGGAUCUCCUAGACGAGCUUGCCCCUCUCAGUAAGCCCCAGGCCUCCUAAGGCCAUUUCUCAACAGGAGCCGUGGGCCCUGGCACAGGUAGGGUGGAGCUUAGCACUCUCCCCUGUAGACUCAGAUGGCUCUCAUAUGCGUAUUUCUCUCUUUUUUUUUUUUUGGAGACAGGGUCUUGCUUGUUCUGUCACCCAAGCGUGAUCUGGUCUCACUGCAGCCUCAACCUCCGGGGCUCAAGCAAUCCUCUCGCCUAAGCCUUCUGAGUAGCUGAGACUACAGGCGUGCACCACCAUGCCCAACUAAUUUUUUUAAAAGUUUUUUUCUAGAGAUAGGGUCUUGCUAUGUUGCCCAGACUGGUCUUGAAUUCCUGGGCUCAAGCGAUCCUUCUGCCUCGGCCUCCCAAAGUGCUGGGAUUUCAGGCGUGAGCCACCGUGCCCAGCCACUAAUAUGUAUUGUCCAGACCUCUUCGCUAACCUCCAGAUCUGUGGCUCCAACCGCCUACCUGACAGUCGCCAAGCAGACCCCCUGCCAGGUCGCAGCCUCGGGCCAUGGUCCCUCCGUAUCCCCACACAUACAGCUGGGAACCUUGGUGUUACCCUUUCUGUUUCCUCUUCCUUCACUCUCCUCCCCUGACCCCCAGCCUAGCCCCCAUGUCUUGUCAACUUUGAGCUCCUGAAUCUGUCUACCCACCUCCGGGCCCCGGACCCCUCCACCCCGGACCUGGGAAAAGGCCCCUUACCUGAUCCCCAGAAGCCCUUGGCCUGUCCAAACCCGUCUCCAUACUCAGUGAGGUUUUCCAAGUACAGAUCUGACUGAAGUCCCCUGCGGCAGCCCUGUGCUGACAUCCAUUGCCCCAAGGAUAAAGACCUGGGUCCUCAGUCCCUCCACAGCAGCCUGCACCCAAGUCCCCUCGCUGAGCUCCAGCCACUGGCCCCGCUGGGCAGAAGUGACCAUGUGAUACAGAGCUCCCGCCUCCCCGGAGUGGGAUGCUCUGUGGCUGCGUGUGCCCUACAGCAGCACGGUUCAGUAGGCAGAGGCCACUUCUACUACCCGGCUAAGGAAAAGAUGGGCAGAGCCUGCUCUGGAUGACGCUGUGUUCCAGCCGGCGGAGAGGGUCCCCCAUUUCCUCGGAACUAAUCCUCCAGGAAAUUAACAGACAGUUUGCUGUGGACAACUAGAGCCCUCCCCUUCCUUAGCCCUGAGCGAGGUAAACAAUUCUGCUCUGCCUUCCGGAAGUUUCAAAUUAGCUCUUCAACCAGCGUUUUCACGCAGCUUCCAGUCCUGCCACAGUCUUGAAGAAGAGAUCAGCUUUCGCGUCUUCAUUCUUGCCAAGAUUAGCUGCCCUUCGAAUCUCCCGUGUGUCAUUAAUCCCAGCACGAACAAGCACUUGGGAACUGCGGGCUGCAGAUGGUCUGCUUAUCCUACGGAACCCUCCUCUUUUGAGGCUUAACCCCUUUAGUCUUUGUUGCUUCUGUAGCUUUCUGAUGCCAUUAAAGAGAUGAUUUUUAUA